GUUUUACUACACAGAGCAGGUCGGAGAAAGGACGAGUUGUGGCGAAAAGGAGUGUGCAGAGCCGGCCCUGGUCCUCAGGGCCCAGGGCUCUGCAGAGCAGGGGCUCAGCUAAAGGGGUGUUAUACAACCCGCUCUUCUGCCCUCUUGCCCUUCGCUUUGCAUCCUGUCUCCCAGCACGACUCACCCAUCCCGGCGUCCAGGUCUUAUUUGGCAAAGGGAAGACAGUGGAGUAUGUGCAGGGGCUGCGUGGGAUGAGCUGAGCUUCCUCGGAGUGCCAGCCAUUGUGCUGCCUAGAAGAGCCUUUCUUUACUCGACAGAAGAGGGAGAGGAGGUCUGAAAUGGAGGGAAACGGAUCUUGACAGUUGCCAUCAUUGUACUACGGUGCCAGGAUGGAGGCUCCACUGGUGAGUCUGGAUGAAGAGUUUGAAGAUAUCAGGCCCUGCUGCACUGAGGACCCAGAGGAAAAGCCACAAAGUCUCUAUGGCACAUCUCCUCACCACCUGGAGGACCCUUCCCUCUCCGAGCUUGAGAAUUUUUCUUCCGAAAUAAUCAGCUUCAAGUCCAUGGAGGACCUCGUGAAUGAAUUUGAUGAGAAGCUCAAUGUCUGCUU
rnacentral:lncRNA from 1 species